rnacentral:rRNA from 1 species
GGUACCGGGGGACAACAGUUGGAAACGACUGCUAAUACCGCAUAAGCGCACAGCAUCGCAUGAUGCAGUGUAGAAAAACUCCGGUGGUACAGGAUCGGACCCGCGUCUGAUUAGCUAGUUGGUGAGGUAACGGCUUACCAAGGCAACGAUCAGUAGCCGACUUGAGAGAGUGAUCGGCCACAUUGGGACUGAGACACGGACCCAAACUCCGUACGGGGAGGCAGCAGGUGGGGAAUAUUGCACAAUGGGGGAAACCCUGAUGCAGCGACGCCGCGUGAAGGAAGAAGUAUUUCGGUAUGUAAAGCUCUAUCAGCAGGGAAGAAAAUGACGGUACUUGACUAAGAAGCCCCGGCUAAAUACGUG